ACAGUAUGAGAAGUUGGGUUUACGUGCUGCAAAUCUGAAGAAACAAGUUGAAAAACUGGAGAAUGAAAUUGAAGAAGUGGAGAAACACUUUAAAAAGAUUGGUAUACGCACUCCUAAUCUGAAGCUACACAUGGCAGAACUGGUGGAUCAAGCUGAAGCUGUGGAGAAUAGGAAAUCAGAGCUGAAGAGACAUUUAACAAAUACUGAUUUACGUACUGCGGAUCUGAAGAAAAAUGUUGCAGAGCUUGAGAAACGAACAGAAGCAGUGGUGGUAGAAACUAAAGAAUCAGGAAAACCACCUAAAGAACAGGACUGAGAGAUGAACUGCGCCUCACGGUAACCACAGGAGUCAAGCUUCACAGACUGCUGAUUGCACAGGAUGCCAAAACCACAAUAACUCCAAGUGAGAAAGGAAACCCACACUGAAACAAGUGGAGCCAGUUUUCGUUCUGAGUGAGAACACAGAACUGCAGUUCUGUGAGCCAAAGCUGACUAAGCAACCACCGAAGUGAGGAUGUGUGACCUCCAACUGAAAUUUAAUUGGAUGAAAGAAACCAUAGGAAGGACGAAAAUGGGAGGAAGACAGAGAUCCUGGAAAAGGGAUGGACAUUUUGGGAAAUAACAAAACCGUGUAUCAGGCUUUGUGGGCAUCUAAUGAAUAUGUAACACUAUUUGAAAUAGAAGCAUGCACAUAGGAGCAAAGAUAGAAAAGAGUUUUGGGUGUUAACACUGUUCUUCUCUGUCACAACAUAAUAAAGCAUACCUGCUGUUGAUAAUCAAUCACUGAUUGUUAUCAGUAAUUGGGGGCUUGGUUCCACGGAACAGGCUGAGUCUUCAUCCUGGAACCAAAGCAAUGCAGGCUCUAUCGGAAAACAAGCUGACCCGUCUCACCAUGCUUGGCUUUCCCAGCAGAACAAGGCUCCCUCCGGGAAGC